rnacentral:rRNA from 1 species
AGAGUUUGAUUAUGGCUCAGAGUAAACGUUAGUGGCGUGCUUAACACAUGCAAGUCGAACGAAUGAGAACUUAUUAAAAUCAUAAAUUCUUGUUAGUGGCAAACGGGUGAGUAAUACAUGGGAAUUUGCCCUGUAGUAUGGAAUAACCAUGGGAAACGAUGGCUAAUACCAUAUAUUAUCGAGAGAUGAAAGGUUUAACAGCCACAGAAUAAGCCCAUGCACGGAUUAGUUUGUUGGUAAGGUAAGAGCUUACCAAGGCUAGAAUCUUUAGCUGGUUUGCGAGAAUGAUACAGCCACACUUGAACUUAGAUACGGUCCAGACUCCUACGGGAGGCAGCCAGUGAGGAAUAUUGGACAAUGGGCGAAAGCCUGAUCCAGCGACGCCACGUGAAUGAUGAGGGCCCCAGGGUUGUAAAAUUCUUUUAGUGGAGAAGAUAAUGACGUUAUCCACAGAAAAAGUCCCGGCUAACUUCGUGCCAGCAGCCGCGGUAAUACGAAGGGGGCAAACGUUACUCGGAAUUAUUGGGCGUAAAGAGUGCGCAGGCUGCUUUAUAAGUUGGAAGUGAAAGCCUUUGGCUCAACCAAAGAAUUGCUUGCAAAACUGUAAAGCUAGAGUAUUAGAGAGGAUAGAAGAAUUCCUGAUGUAGGAGUGAAAUCCGUAGAUAACAGGAGGAAUAUCAAAGGCGAAAGCAUCUAUCUAGCUAAAUAACUGACGCUGUUGCACGAAAGCGUGGGGGGCAAACAGGAUUAGAUACCCUGGUAGUCCACGCAGUAAACGAUGAGUGCUAGAUAUUAGAAAUUAUAUUUUUAGUGUCGAAGCUAACGCAUUAAGCACUCCGCCUGGGAACUACGAUCGCAAGGUUAAAACUCAAAGGAAUUGACGGGGACCCGCACAAGCGGUGGAACAUGUGGUUUAAUUCGAUACUACGCGAAAAACCUUACCAAGUCUUGACAUGUUAGUUGUAUAAUUAAGAAAUUAGUUAGUCAGUUAGGCUGGACUAUCACAGGCGUUGCAUGGCUGUCGUCAGCUCGUGUCGUGAGAUGUUGGGUUAAGUCCCGCAACGAGCGCAACCCUCAUCUUUAAUUGCCAACAGAUUUUUAUUAUGCUGGGAACUUUAAAGAACCUGCCAAUGGAGAAUUGGAGGAAGGUGAGGAUGUAUGUCAAGUCAGUAUUGCCCUUAUGACUUGGGCUACACACGUGUUACAAUGGUAGUUACAAUAUGAUGCAAUAAGGUGACUUGGAGCAAAUCUAUAAACGUACUACCUACAUGUUUAGAUUGCACCCUGCAACUCGGGUGCAUAAAGUUGGAAUCGCUAGUAAUCGCAGAUCAGCACGCUGCGGUGAAUACGUUCCCGGGUCUUGUACACACUGCCCGUCAAGCCAUGGAAGUUAAGUUUUCCUUAAGUAGAUAAGCUAACUGCAAAGAAGCAUUUUACCAAGGAGAAAUUAAUGACUAGGGUUAAGUCGUAACAAGGUAGCC